AGAAGAAUGGAUUUGCAUGUUCCCAUUCAGUUGCUCUUAACUUCAGACAUAAGUAUUCCAGUUUUUUGAGUGCCGGACUACUAGUUUCUAUGAUAGGGCUGCCAUAUGCUUCUUUUCCUAGUCUCUGGUGAGUUACAAGGGUGUGUGCUGCCUCUGUGGUUCAAAGAAGACACUGUAUAAAAAUGGCUAAAUGCUCAUGUUCCCCACUUUCCCCUGUGCCUGCUGUAAGGGUUCAGGCAUAGGACAGGAAGUGAGCAAGAAGGCGAGGUAGGGGGUAGGGCUUACCAGGUGGCCUGCCACAGGUGUUCUGCAUAGCAGGCAGGAGUAGAGAUGCUGGGCUGUAAGGGAGGCAGCUUGACUAUGGGCAGUCCAGCAGUAACCCCAAGCCAGAAGAUCACUUUUUGUUUUGCUUGGUGUCAGCUCCUGAGGCGAGCAUCUUGGAGACCUAGCAAGAUGAGCCCUGCAGCCAAAUUCUGUCUGUCUACUGAGAAUGCGAGAGGCAUUUGUACAGCUCCUGGUAUGGCUGGCAGUAUCUGAGACUCUUGCAACCUUCCAACGUAUGCCGCUGUAAAGCUGAAAGGUGACUUUAUUGCAGUUUUUAUACAAAGAAAGAGCAGAAAUGCAUCAAAGGUAAAGGAUAAAAUCCAUGGCAGCCGUGGUCAUUUAUUUUUGUCUGAUCUAUACCCAGUGUAUGCUUCAGCUGUACACACUACUUAGGUGGUGGUUUGUGUUUUUUUUUUGUUUUGUUUUUUUUUUUUGUUUUUUUUGGUUGGACACUUUCAGCUUGUGCUUAUAUGAUGAGAAGAAAGAAGAAACACAAACUGGUUCUCUAGUGUCAAGACCCAGGAAUUUCGAGUGUUUCAAUUGGUUGCAGAGGCAAUUAAGCACCUAAAUCCCUUUUGAGAUGAGGUCAUGCCAGUUCUUUCCAUAACAAGAGUGUAUAUUGUUUAUUCCUGCUUUUCAUACAACUGCCAUUUUUUUAAUCAUCUGUUGGCUCAAAUAACUAAGGCUAAUAAUAAACCUCUCUUGUUUUAUUGCUACA
rnacentral:lncRNA from 1 species